AACGAACGCUGGCGGCAUGCCUAACACAUGCAAGUCGAACGGGAGCAUCGGGUCUGCUGGCGCAUGCGGGCGUAGCGCGGGGGAACCUGCCCUUAGAUUUGGAAUAACUCGCCGAAAGGGGUGCUAAUACCGGAUAAUGUCCUCGAACCAAAGAUAUGACGCGUUUGGAGGGGCGGGGGAUGUAUUGGCUGGUGAGUAGGGUAAAAGCCUAUCAAGGCAACGAUCGAUAGCUGGUUAGAGAGGAUGGUCCGCGACACUGGGACUGAGACACGGCCGAGACUACUACGGGAUGGAGCAGUGGCGAAUAUUGGAAAAUCGGCGGAGUGCUGAAGCACCACGGCCGCGAGAGCGAUGAAGGCCUGAGGGUAGUAAAGCACGUUUAUCCCGGAUUAUAAUGACAGUACCGGGAGAAUAAGCACCGGCUAACUCCGUG
rnacentral:rRNA from 1 species